ensembl:lncRNA
AUGACACUCAGCCAUGAACUCGAGAGAAUGCACCGCCUGCAGCUCUGUGCAAUCCUGGCUGCCUCUUUCCUAGCAGAGAGAGAGGGUGCCUUGAUGCUCUGCCCCUAUAGUGACUUACUGAAUGGACAGAGGAUAAGGCUUGGUAUUUUACAGUGAAGCAAGAAGGACAGGCUCAUAUUCUACACACAGCACUGUACCUGGAGAAACAGCAGUGGCCUUCUUUUCUUAAACAGUGACUUACUGCUUUCUAGGAAAGCAAAGAGGUUGCUGCGGCAAUUAAAGAAGCAAUCACAGUGGAUAUUUACCCUAUUGAGGACAAUAUAUCAAUUCUCUUGGUCAAACAUACCGACUGUAUAAAUAAUAUAAAGAGAAAAUGGGUUUUGAAAAUAAAAUAUUACUUAACAAGUGCAUUUAUAUUUUAAUCUAGUUCUGUUAAUUCAGUAGUUUCAAAAAGGCAUAUUUGAAUUGGAGGCUCUAAUAGUUUUUCAUGUUGAAUAACACGGUAAUGGGAUUUUUCUACAUUCUGUACACAUGAGGAACAUUCUAAAAUGUGUUGCCACAAUUACAAAGUAGCAGUGUGCAUGCUAUUUAAUGUGAGCAUGGGAAUAAAGCUGGUUUUAGCCAUUUGGUUUAAAACAAUCAUAAAUAGCCAUUUUAACAUAAUGAUUCCAGUAUAAAAUGCUUUGCUUUAAUUUCAAGGAUUCUAGUGGGGAAAACAUAAUAUUCUGAGGACUAAUUUAAUUUAAAUUAGGACUACUGUGAAAGUCAGGUUCUGACUUAAUGGCAAUUAAAUAAAGUUUGAGGUUGGGUCUUCUGUUUUGUUCUGACACAAAUAUGUCUCAAAAAGUAAAUUAAUAUAAAUAUAUAUAAAUUUAAAUAUGCCAUCAGGAAUAAUUGGAGAGUCAGUAGGUGAUUUUCUUGAGUUUUUGCUGAUGUUUUGCCAAUCUCAUCAAGAAUUCCUAAAGAAGAACAAAAUGGCACUUUACCUUCUGGACAGCUAGAUGUUUGUCUUUGCUGCGAUGCAAAAUGUUGCAAUUCCAUUCAAAGAGAGAAGAUUAGAGUAACUAGAAAAUAUGAUAAAACAGUUCACAAUGGUAGCUACUCAUUUCACACAUCAAGGAGUCUAGACUCAUUUGGUACACAGAGACUAACAAACAGGGAUCCCCUUAACCAUGAUAAAGGUCAUUCAUGAAGAGCAAACACUUUCUUAUCAGCGCUACAAAUUUUCAUGAAGGUGUUAACACAGAUAACUUCUUAAAAUUACUCAAAAUUAAUGCAACGUCAAUUAAUUGCUCUACACCUUAAGCCUAAU